UUUCUCGUUGGAAGACUCCCUAUUUUCUUUCUUUUUUGUCUUUCUCUCUAUUUUCCUUCCUAAUUCCUAUCCUCUUUUCUUCAUCAUCUCAUGCCCCAGUUUCCUCUCUUUUCAUCCUUGUCGUUGCAAGCAAACUCUAUCGAGCUUGAACCAGGUAAUCUCUCAAUUUUUUGUCGUAUUUCUCCUACUUUCCUUUCAUUUAUUUUUACUUUACUCCCUUCUCACACACUCUCUCUCUCUCUCCACUUUUUCAUUUAUUUUCUCUCUCUCUCUUCCCCACACCUUGAGACAUCGUCGAUCCCCUGAUCGAGCUGUUAGAGAGGACGAUUGGAGACUACACAGUAUCCUUGACUUCACCAUCGUGGCUGUUAGAGACGACGAUUGGAGAUGACACAACCUCAAUUUCCUUAUUCCAUUGAUUGAUUUUAAGGUCCAGCAUAAUCAGCGUGAUCCGGGCACUCCUAGCUAGCAGACGUCUAGCUCCUAGUUGGCGACGGACGGUACCUGAGAAGAGGAAGGUGAAGGAUUCCCGGGGAGCUCGCCCGGUGCAAAUACUCCGAUGCUUAAGUUAGAACUUUGGGAGCUGUAGGAAAUGCAAAGAGAGCUGAGAGUGCAGAUAGCGCUAAAUCAGUUCAAUUACCUCUGCCCCUUGGAAAUCGGGGUCCUUAAAUACUGGUUGUUCUGUCAAAUCGGGCGUAACCGCCAUUGGCCCUCUAUCGCAACCGUUAUUUGCCAGGGCUGCAUAGGUAACCGUUGCGGGGUACUGGCCCAAUCGGAUGAGGGAUGUGACCCGGGAAGGACAAACACGUCGCCGCCUGUCGAGAGACGUGGGCGCAGCCCGCUGGGUUGGCAGGUACUGCGUCAUCAGUCAGGAAACGCGGGUGCAGUCUAACGGGUACGGUCUUGUCAGAUAAGAAACUUCUUGAGGACGCCGCAUUGCUUAAUAGCGAACUACCUUGUAGCGAGCUGCUAGGGCGUCCCGAGGUGAUUCCGCCUGAGGCCUUCGAGGCGACCUUACCAAAGGGUUGGAGCGAGCUAAUUGUCCAAGCUCGUGAGCUGAAAUAGCUUGGGGUGUUCCUCGUCUAGCACACUAGUGAGCUCGAGCUCACUUUGUAGCAAGCUGUUCUGUGGCGAGCUGACUCGCGAAGGUUUCAGCGAGCUCGUUACACUGGGUUGAAACCAGGCUGUUAUGCUGAGCUGUUGCUUAUGUUGAGUCAUGUCCAUGUGUCGUCUGCUUAGGAGGUCGGGUCAAUUCACCCUCCAUCAAUUGCCCCCCACUCCUCGGGCUAAGGGUCUCACUCUUUGCAUGGUGAGUUUAUGAAGCGAUGGGAGGAUUUGACCCGUGGUUCAAACUGGGUUGGCUGAUCGCAUUAAAUGCACUUGCAGAUGUCAGGUGAUUUUUGGGCGCCAAAAAGCGCACCAAGCGGCUGUUAGUUUCGGAAGACGUGCAGCCGACACCACUUCAGCCCUGGAAGACGUGUAGCCGGCAUUACUUCGCCAGGGUGGCCUCGGCUCAUUGCAUGGUGGUGAACUCCGCCAUCCACGCCAUGGCCCUCCAGACUAACAUUCACUCCAAGGACGCCCUCACUCAGAGGUCGAACGUGCAGAAGCUCCGGGGUGAGCUCGAUCAGGACCGAGAUGAAAUCCUCCAGGCUCGGAAAGGGAGUGAGACUCAGGAGCUGCUCGUCCGGGACUAGGAAGCACAGAUCGCCCGACUGUCUGAGGAGAGCGCUUGCUACCGGGAGGAGUCGUCGAGGGUGACAGCGGAGAGAGAGCUCCUUCGCCAGUAGGUCCAGAACUUGGAGUCCACGCUCCGGGAUCGGACUUGGAACUUUGACGCCAUGGUGGAGGCAGAGUGAGCUAAGGCGGUGUGGGACUUCAAAGGCUCUCAGGAGUACCACGACCUCUAGGUGGAGUACGGUUAGAACUUUUACCGUUCGGGAUUCAAACUCUGCCGAUGGUUGGUCCGAAAGUUCUCUGGCCUCAACCUCGAAGGCAUAACGAUGAAGGGUCUGGACCCAGAGAUGGUGGGCAUGGCGGAGGAGGAGGAGCCCAACUCUCCGGAGGAUGACGAGGACGUGGAGGCGGUGGAACCUUGAGGCCGAUAGUUCUUGUUUUUUCUUCUUGACUGAAUUUUGAAGUGGUUGUUCCCGGGUGUCUGAACCCGGUUCUAUGUCUUUCUUUUCUUGAUGAACUGUCUCAGACUGUUAGGCCAUGCCUUUGUUUUUUGUUCGUUUGUUUUUGUUGUUUAUUUUUUUUUAGAACUGGAAAUGAAGUAUUCCCAUUUUUGUUUCUAAGUGCUAUGCUCUUUACUUUCCGCCGAAGCGACUUUAUCAUUCGAGCUGUUAGAGCUACAUACCCGAAGUAGGGUCUUUCGGUAAUUGUUACCCCGAACUGCUCCCCAGUAUUUGGGGUAGUUUUAUAAUGUUAGAGUUAAAUCCCCUUAGUGGGUUCAACUUGUAUACCGAAGUGAUCCACACAUCAGAGGGUUCACUCGAGCUGCCCGUGCCUUCGGUAUUAAUACUUAGCCUAUGCCGAUGAAGUGGUUAGGUCUUAUACGGUGCCGAGG